UUCCAGAUCUUGGGUCUUCUCAUAUCACUGGACAGUACAACAUGCCUGAAGUGAUUGUGCAGAACACUUCAUAAAAAAAAAAGGAGACUCCUAAAUCCAGUCAAACUACUUCUGUUGGAAAAAAAUAAGUAUGGGCAGAGAAACAUCUCUUUCUUCUAAAAUCAGCUUUAAACUGGAAGAUAGCACAACUACUUUAUUGUGCAGGAUGUGGAGGAAAACUGAUGCAGAAUGAAAACUGGAAGGAUUUCAAAGAGGAAUAAAAAGGACUGAGGCUAAAGACGAGGGCGUAACUGGAUGUUAUUGAGAGGAAAUCUAACCUGCAGGCAGCCCUGGGUACCAUCUCACCCCUGCACCAAGUGCUGAAACACCUACUUUCUGUUGGGAAACACCUACCUACUGACCUCCCUGUGUCCUGGGAAGCCUCGGGGAUUUU